rnacentral:lncRNA from 1 species
CGAACAGGCGCAAUGGAUUUACCGCAGCCCGUUGACAACUCCGUCGUCAGAGGUGGAAAAAAAAAAGAACAAACGCAGAUACUGCUGCGUUAAAGAUUGCCACAAUAAAGAAGGGGAUGUCGGCAUCAUGCAUGAUGUAUCGCAAUUCCCAUCGAGACCGUGGGAAGCAACUCGGCCGGCGGCAGAAGUGGAUCGCAGCUGUUCGGCGCGUCAAUGCCGAUGACCUGUCAUCUUGGCAGCCGAACGAGAAUACCAGGAUAUGCUCGAGGCAUUUCGUCAACGGC